GUGAAUCAUCGAAUCUUUGAACGCACAUUGCGCCCCCUGGUAUUCCGGGGGGCAUGCCUGUCCGAGCGUCAUUGCAACCCUCAAGCACGGCUUGUACGUUGGGUGUCGUCCCCCCGGGGACGCGCCUGAAAGGCAAUGGCGGCGCCCGCAUCGGAGCCCGAGCGUAUGGGAAACCUUUCCGCUCGAUGUGGCCCCGGUCGGCGCUGGUCGUCACCCAUUCUUUUUACCGGUUGACCUCGGAUCAGGUAGGGAUACCCGCUGAACUUAAGCAUAUCAAUAAGCGGAGGA
rnacentral:misc_RNA from 1 species